rnacentral:rRNA from 1 species
CCUACGGGAGGCAGCAGUGGGGAAUAUUGGGCAAUGGACGCAAGUCUGACCCAGCAACGCCGCGUGAAGGAAGAAGGCUUUCGGGUUGUAAACUUCUUUUAAGGGGGAAGAGCAGAAGACGGUACCCCUUGAAUAAGCCACGGCUAACUACGUGCCAGCAGCCGCGGUAAUACGUAGGUGGCAAGCGUUGUCCGGAUUUACUGGGUGUAAAGGGCGUGCAGCCGGAGAGGUAAGUCAGAUGUGAAAUCCGCGGGCUCAACUCGCGAACUGCAUUUGAAACUGCUUCCCUUGAUUAUCGGAGAGGUAAUCGGAAUUCCUAGUGUAGCGGUGAAAUGCGUAGAUAUUAGGAAGAACACCAGUGGCGAAGGCGGAUUACUGGACGACAACUGACGGUGAGGCGCGAAAGCGUGGGGAGCAAACAGGAUUAGAUACCCCUGUAGUC